UUUGCUAGCUAAUUGUGUAUAUACGCAGGCCAAUGCUUCUAAUUUCAUAGCAAGCUCGCUUGCUGUGAAAUAGGCAACCAGUAAUAUAAGCAAGUGUGUGCUAUUUAUAGCCCUAGCCUACAAACCUAUAAUUAUAUUAACUCUAAGAGAAAUUUAAUAAUAAACGAAGUGAAUUGAAAUAUCUUAGUAACUUUAGGAAAAGAAAUCAAAAGAGAUUCUAUGAUUAGCGUGAGCUAAAAAUAGACUAGCCUAAAAAGUCAAAUGGUGGAUAAACUGUUUAAAUUAAAUGGGGAACCUUCCUCAAAGGCUAAAUAUAAUGUAUAAGCGAUAGUGGAAAGUACCGUGAGGGAACCAAAACAAAAACAGUGAUUUUAUAAGCAGUUCGGGAAAAAUAAAAAAAAAGUUAGAACGUACCUUUUGCAUAAUGGGUCACCAAGUUAACAUUAGAUGCGAGUAGAAGGCUUUGGCCAUACAUACGUAGUUAAACCGAGCGUUAAAAUAACGGUAAGUAUCUAAAGUUAGACCCGAAGCCUGGUGAUUUUACCAUAAUCAGGAUUAUAAAAGUCCGAACGGAAUAUUGUAGCAUAAAUAUCCGAAGAAUUAUGGUAGGUGUAGUGAAAGACAAUACUGACCAGGAUAGCUGGUUUUCUGCGAAACCUAUAACAGUAGGCAAUUUAAGUAUAAUAUCUUAGCAGGUACAGAAUUUAAUCUCAGACAAGACAUAAGGCUUAGCUUGCUAGCAAGUAAAGCUCAUGUUUUAUUUUGUACAAAUUGGGGGAUCAUGAAGAUUUUAUCAGUGAGUAUGUAGACUCGGAAUGGCAAAGAUAUAUCUUAAAUCAUCAGACAUAGAAUGAUAAGGUUGUAUGUCAAAAGGGAAACAGCCCAGAACAAGAGUUAAGGUUCCUAAAUUAUUAGUUGAGUGAAAUUAAGAAGGUUUUUAUUAAAGUCGACAAGGAGAUAGGCUUAGAAGCAGCCAUAAUUUUAUGACCUCGUAACAGAGCGCUUGUUAAGUUUUAAAAGCAUCGAAAAUUUAUCGGAUCUAAACAAUAUACCGAAACCUUGUCCAUAUUAUUUUAUAAUUAAAUCUUAAUUAUAAUUAAAUGGGGUAGCAGAACGUUGAGCUAAAUUAAGAUUUUUAUUUUUUAAAUGAAAUUAUAAUAAUUUAACUCAAGUGAUAAUGGUGACAUGAGUAACUAAAAGAAAAAAUAAAAUUUUUCCGCCUAAAGCUUAUGGAUGUAAUUAAGUAACGGCCUCUAAGUUUAUAUUAUCUAAAGAUUUAAACGAUGAGAUAAUCUUUUGUACUAAGGACGACAUUUUAAGUGAAAAAUGUACUGGAAAAAUAGUACUAAAUUAAUGGGUAUAGCUAAUUAGUUAGCUAUAGCUAUAAAUGAAAAGUAACCGUACCUAGAAUCUGAAACAAGUAAGCUAGUAGAGAAUACGAAGGCGUAAAUGAGCUAACAAUCAUAAAGGAACUCGGCAAAUUGACUACCGUAACUUCGGGAUAAGGAGAGCUCAUUAUUCUUGAUUAAUAUCAGGUAAAGAGGAAGAAGCAUGAAAUAGUGUUGUACGACUGUUUAAUUAAAACACAGCACUUUGCUGAAAGAUUAAAAAUCUAAGUAUAGAGUGUGAUGUCUGCCCGGUGCCGGCUGGUUAACAGAUAUAAUUAAAUAUACUAAUAUUUGAUGUAGACGGAAACCCCGGUUAAAGGCGGCCUUAACGUGAGGGUCCUAAGGUAGCGAAAUGCCUUGGCCGUUAAAUGCGGUCUUGCAUGAAUGGUGUAACGAUACAACAGCUGUCUCUAUGAUUGACUCAGUGAAAUUGGAAUAGCAGUGCAGAUACUGCUUACCUCUAGUUAGACGAGAAGACCCUAUGCAGCUUUACUGUCACUAAUUAUAGAUUAUGAUAGACAAUUUUCAGAUUAUAAGGUAAUUGAUUUAUGACAAUGAGAAACCUUUAUUUUUCUUUCAUAUGAAUGAAUUGGUUUAGGAGUAUAAGUAGAUUGUAAUUUAUGUGGCUUUACUGAGCCAAUUUGUUAAAUUAUAGUCUGUAUGCUUAUACUAGUAGAUCAGCCUAAUUCAACUUAYUAUAUUYAUUAUAGUAAGUACCCUUKGSUAAGGAACUAUCGCUAGGGGACAGUUUAUGUGGGGCACAGACCCUGUAAAGAGUAAACAGGAGUGUCUAAAAAUUUAUAAAUAUUUUGUUUGCUAUUUUGAAUAGUUUAACUAUUCUUAAUCAUAUACAAUUAAUUAUAUUUGCAUUUAUUGUAAAUAUAGUUAAGAUUAGGUAGGAUUUUCACUAUAUAGAAAUUAGAGAUAAUAAAGAUAUUAUGGAAACUCUUCUAAUAUCUUUUAGCUAUCUUUUAGAUAGUUAUGUUUACAAUAUCUAAAAAGCUCAACGGCUUAAUCCUGCCUUACUGUUUGAUUAUCUACAAAUCUUACAGUUGCGUAAGCAGGGCAUAGGAUCACAAGAUGCAACAAGGAAAGAUCUUGGAUUAUUGGAAAAGCUACGCUAGGGAUAACAGGCUAAUUUGCGCAAGAGUGUACAAAAUGAGUGCGCGGUUUGGCACCUCGAUGUCGGCUUAACUUAUCCUCAUGGACGCAGGAACUAUGUAGGGUGCGACUGUUCGUCGAUUAAAAAGUUACAUGAGCUGGGUUAAAUACGUCGUGAGACAGUAUGGUUUCUAUCUUCUAGGGGGAAUUAGAAUAAAAUAAGAACUAACUUUUGUACGCAAGGAACAAGAAGAGUUUAACAUUGUUAGACUAUGGUUACUAACCUAUGGUUUACCUGUUGUUUAUGUGCCCAAAUAUUAAAUAUAUAUGCUUUUGUAUAUAUAUCUGUAUUAUUUCGAUAAUACAUAGGGAUGUAUCUUUCACUAAGAUAAUGUAUAGCAUAAGCACGGCAGGAAAGCUAAGUUGGUUAAGGAUAAGUGCUGAAAGCAUAUAGGCACGAAGCUUAUCUUAAGAUAUUUCUUAAAUAUACGUAGCAUAAUACUACGAAUUUAUAGGCUUUAUCCGUAAGAAUCUAGAGAUUUUAAAGAUUAAAGUACUAAUUUAAUAAUUUACUAUUUAUACAUAUAUCAAUA
rnacentral:rRNA from 1 species